GGCUAGACCGUGGCGACGGCAGCGGCCCCUGGGCUGGAGGAGGACGAUGAGGAGCGACGGAAGCGACGCUGGGGCACGCUGCUGCGCGGCGCCCGGUUUCGUGCCCGCGGCCGACUGCGCAGUCUGUCCGCGAGUCUGAGAUACAUACAGAAAACUACAAUGGAAAAGUCCUGGAUGCUGUGGAACUUUAUUGAAAGAUGGCUAAUAGCUUUGGCUUCAUGGUCUUGGGCUCUCUGCCGUAUUUCUCUUUUACCUUUAAUCGUGACUUUUCAUCUGUAUGGAGGCAUUAUCUUACUUUUGUUAAUAUUCAUAUCAAUAGCAGGUAUUCUAUAUAAAUUUCAGGAUGUAUUGCUUUAUUUUCCAGAACAGCCAUCCUCUUCACGUCUUUAUGUUCCCAUGCCCACGGGCAUUCCACAUGAAAACAUUUUCAUCAGAACCAAAGAUGGAAUACGUCUAAAUCUUAUUUUGAUACGAUACACUGGAGACAAUUCACCCUAUUCCCCAACUAUAAUUUAUUUUCAUGGGAAUGCAGGCAACAUAGGUCACAGGUUGCCAAAUGCACUGCUUAUGUUGGUUAACCUCAAAGUUAACCUUUUGCUGGUUGAUUAUCGAGGAUAUGGAAAAAGUGAAGGAGAAGCAAGUGAAGAAGGACUCUACUUAGAUUCUGAAGCUGUGUUAGACUAUGUGAUGACUAGACCUGACCUUGAUAAAACAAAAAUUUUUCUUUUUGGCCGUUCCUUGGGUGGAGCAGUAGCGAUUCAUUUGGCUUCUGAAAAUUCACACAGGAUUUCAGCCAUUAUGGUGGAGAACACAUUUUUAAGCAUACCACAUAUGGCCAGCACUUUAUUUUCAUUCUUUCCAAUGCGUUACCUUCCUUUAUGGUGCUACAAAAAUAAAUUUUUGUCCUACAGAAAAAUCUCUCAGUGUAGAAUGCCUUCUCUUUUCAUCUCUGGACUCUCAGAUCAAUUAAUUCCACCAGUCAUGAUGAAACAACUUUAUGAACUCUCCCCAUCUCGGACUAAGAGAUUAGCCAUUUUUCCAGAUGGGACUCACAAUGAUACAUGGCAGUGCCAAGGCUAUUUCACUGCACUUGAACAGUUCAUCAAAGAAGUUGUAAAGAGCCAUUCUCCUGAAGAAAUGGCAAAAACUUCAUCUAAUGUAACAAUUAUAUGAUGUUUUCCAUUUUGAUUAUUGCAUUGUGUUUUAAUUUGUGCAGAAUGGUUAAGAAUGUUCCUUUUAGAAGUGUUAUGUCUGUAUCCUGUCUGAAGAGUGACAUUAAACUUUGAAAGGACUUCAGUGCUCCUUUGUGAUGAUCCAAAUAGUUUUUUACAUUGAAAAACUAUAAUUCUUGGGAUUAUUUCAUACAUUUUCAUCAAAACUUUCAAUGUGGUUAUGUAUUCAUAUCUUUAGUUUAAUAUGUCGAUAUAAGAUAUUGUUCAAAAGUUUCUUGUUGCUGAAGUGGUGUAAUCUCACACAGAUCAAUAGCUAGAUGUGGAAGGAGAUAUGUAAACAAGAAACCUUUGGGUAUUACUACUUAAGUAAAUACUGGGACAAUCAUGAUAAGCAAACUUAGUUCUGUAACUGCAUUUUUCACCUUAAAAGUUAAAUGAAAUGCAUGAUGGUAUUUUAUUCCUUGAAUUAUGCAAUGCAACAUUUUAAAUGUAAAUAGCACUGGUCAUAUACUGAUGUAUAUGGUUAUCUGGGUUAUAUCUAUUUUUAUGUAAAUUCUAUUUUGUUUUUGGCAAGAAGUGAAAUUGAGACCUAUGUGCAGGUUGCCAUUGAAUUUUGCUCUGGUGAAUGCUGAGAUCCAGCUUUUUCUUACAAAUAAAUGGGACCCUGUUUUCCUAUAUAAAUGUACCGUGUUUUUGUUAGGCACAGUCUGGAUCAUGGCAUGUAGAAAUAGAAAUUUAGAAUUUCACUGCAGCUUUGAUGUGCAUAUUUGAACUUUUUAACAUUUGUAACUUUGGUGGCAAAGAGAAUUUUAGAUUCUGUUGAUUUUGUAAGUUUACAGCUGAACCACUAAUAGCAGUCACAGUGAAGAUGAACACUGCUUAAGAAUUAAAUUAGGAAGUCUUUUAUCAUUACAGAAUUGUACAUACUACUUUUCAAAAAUCCGCACAUUUGAUUUUAAGUCCCAAUACCUAGCUAUAUCUAACCCACUAAAGGCAAGACAUCAUUUGGACUUCUUGAAAAUAAAAGUUACAAAACCCAACAGUGUUCCAGUUGCUGUGAAAUAGAACUCCUACAUCAAAAGACAGCUUUAGGAAGUCUUAUUUAUUUGUUAUAAAAGUUUUUACAUGUCGGAAUGUGAGAGUGAAGGAAUUCUGGAGCUUUUUGACAUAGAACCUGUUACCACAUUUAGCAAUUAAGUGGCCAUAGGUGGGAAGUAGGAUUUAGAUGCGUAGAAAAGUAACAAAAUCUUACUUAGAAAAAAAAAGCCCCUUGAAACUUGCAGGAUUUACCUUAAUAAAAGUAUACGCUAUGAGUCAUAAUUGUGCCAAGUUGUUUAAAGCAGUCCUCAAAAAAUAGAUGCAAUUGAGUUCUGUGUAAUGUGUCAGCUUUAACAUAUAGUAUUUUGAAUAUUUUAGCUAUAUUUAAUGGCUUUCUGCAAGCAACUAGAACAGAGAAAUAAUGGGUCAAUACUCUUGACCUCAAUUUAAAAUUUUUUCCAUGGAGAUAGGGCUAGAAAUACUUUUGCCAAAUGGCAUUCUUACUCACUUUAUGCCAGUAUUUAGAAAAAAUAAAUUAUAGCAAGUAUGAUUUCUAAAAAUAAUUUUUUCUAUAAAUGUAAACAGUCUUGCUUUUUAAAACAAGUUGGUAAUGCAUAUCAUGGAAGGCAUAUUUUGUAUGUAUAAAUUCACAAUUAAAGCCUACUUUUCUUGUCAGUUCUUGCUAUGUAGAAUGACUAUUCUAAAUAUUAAUGUAUUAAAAAGAAAAUACAACAAAAUGUAUAGUUAGACACGAGCUUACAUGGCAUACCUUAUAUUUGUAUCAUUAUUUAAAGUUUACAAAAAAUACCUUGUGUUUCUAUGUGAUCAGUCUAUUACACUAUGGAGAAAUGUAUCAACCUUAGUUCUAAAUAUGCUGAUGAGGUCUAAAAGCUAUAUUUUCAUCAGUACUUUGCUUUUAUGCUGCUUUUUAUUUUUGAUAUUCCAGGUUUAUAAACUAUCUUUUUAAAUUUUAAGCCAGGACUUCAAAAAUUGUAGAGUACUUGUUUGCUAUCCUCUCCCUUAAUUCUCUUCUUAGGGUUAAGGAGCCUUUCUCUCUCCCUCUCUCUCUCCCCCCUUCUCUCUCUCUCUCUCUCUCUCUCUCUCUCUCUCUCUCUCUCUCUCUCUCUCUCUCUCUCUCUCUCUCUUUCUCUUUCUUCUUUCUGCAGCUAAGGGCAGAGGCAGUGCCUAGGGUGGUACCACAUCUGUCUUCACUAGCAUCUGUAUCCCAGUCUGUUUCCUUAGAUCGGUAAGAAGUGGAAAACAAACUUAGUAUGGGGUCCAUGAAGCCCAUGGCAUCAUUUUUGAAAAUAAUUUCCAGUUUUGGGGCCAAAGCAAUUGGUCUUAGUAAAAUGAGACUUCUUCAAGGUCACUCCUUCGCCUUGUACCCAUUGCUUAGCGGGAAUGGAAGUAUAUGUAUCCAUCUUGUAUAUUAAUUUCUGACUCAUUUAUACAAGAGCAGCUAUAGGAGUUUACAAAUGAGCUUUAAGUUACUGUAAAUUUGGGGAUCCUAGAGUGAUCUUAUGGCAAGAUACAGCUCAUUUAGAAUAAAAUCCCACAUCCAUUAUGGGGGGAAAAACUGGUGAAAAAGAAGUAUAAAAGGACCCUAAAAAGCAUACUGCAAAAUAAGAGAAGAAAUAAUUUGUGACAGGUAAUAGAAUACUAGCAAGAUAGAAACAACUAGAAAGGAAGGUUUGACACAGUUCUUACAUUUAGAUAUAGAAAAUAAAUUGAUGAGAUUGAUGAAACAGAAAUAGUGCAAAACAUUUGAAUGCAAAUCAUUUCUAAUAAGUGACUGGGACACUUGGCAUUGCAACUACCCUAUGUUUUUGCAGUUAUAUUUUUGACUGUAAAAUUGAUAUUUUCAUAAAAAUGGUGUUCUGAAUUUUGUUACAGGGCUGGUUAAAUUUAUGAUUACCUGUAGAAACUCGAAAGUUACAUAGAUUACAGCUUUGGUAAUAUGUCACUGGAGUAAUUAUGUUGUAGUACCUGUUGAGAAUUCAUACAAUCUGAUGCUUACAUAUUCAUUUCUUAUGUUUGUAAGAUUUGGCUUGGUGGGAAUAGGUUUGGGGAAAUUAAAGAAUGAGGGCCAUAUAUUUAAUGUUUUGUAAAUUAUCUUUCAAGCUCAGCUUAAGAGUAGUUUAUGUUAAGGAGACCCUUUUCUUCUUGAGGAUAGGAAUAGGUAAGAUAAACUUGUAAAGAAUGUCACAGAAGUCACUUUUUAAUUUACAUCAUGAUUGAGAUACUGAAAUCUUCCACUGAUCUUUCUCCUCUCCCUUUUUCAUAUUAUGUUUGAUAAUUAUAUAUAUUUUUAAACACUGUGAGAGGAAAAAUUAGUCAUAAAUAGCCCUUUUGGAUUAUCCACUUAAAUUUAUGUAUUUUCAUAUUACUCAGGUAAAGAUGGAAAUGACAGAGCACAGACAUUUAUUUUUUAAACUGAUAGGGUAGAAAAUGAAAUGUUUUUCUGCUUAUUCUUAAUACCAUAUAUAUAUAUAUAUAUCAUUUUAGCAAAUUGGAAAUAAUAUAUUCAUUUGUAUGGCAAGAUAAAUGCAGUCAUCUUAAUACUAGUCUACGCAUUUUUGCCAAAUGGCGCAAAUAUACCUCCAUUUAUAUUUUGUAUCUUAAAAUGUAGUUUAAAAAUAGGACAAUGUAUGAGACACUUUUUUACAAAAAGUGCCAUAUAUACAUAUGUAACAGGUGAGUGUGUGUUUAACAUAAUUUAUAACGAUUUCUGUCAGUACAGUGUAUAUGGAAAAGUCAAGUUGUUUUUAACAUAUUCAAGUAUGUUCAGUAUAAAGUAAGUUAAUCCCAUUUCAUAAUGUAAAUCAUAUUUUUGUUAUUUGCCAUAUUUUAUUUGAAGUAGUAAUAAAAUUUUAUAACUCAAAUUUGAAUGUCAUAGUACAUUGUGUGCUAACCAUGGCAAGCAAACAUUUACAUUUGUUUUUUACAAUAAAUUUCUUUUAAAAUAUACUUUCUAUUUUUCUGUACUGACAUAUGCAAUAAAUUGGUACAUUAAAAAUUUGAUUAAUGUCUUAAGAUAGUUCGCAUUCAGUCUUUUUUUAAAAAUUGUUAAUCUAAAAUUUUAUAGUAGGACAUUAAAGUUGUCUCAGUGGUGAAAUUCCUGAAUUUGCACUGAAAUUAAUGAAUUUUAUUCUAGUAAUGGUGUUAAUAAAAAAUAGAAGAUAGAUUUAUAUUUCCUUCCCUGAAGAGUAUUAUCCUCUGUUAUACAUUUAAUUUAGGCUAAUAUUAAAACUACAUGCUGUGAAUAGUUCCUAAUGCAUUUCUUUAGUUAAUUGAAUCUAGCAAUGAAUACAUUUUAACUUCAUAAUUAUGUUGCUUUCAGAUUUCAUAAAGUGCUUUUUUAAAAAGUUCUGCUUUUUUUUCCCACUCUUGUUUGUAUUUUAGUUAAUGGUUUUUAAUAAUCAAAAAAUGACCUGAUACUAACUCAGCCUUGCUUUUCCUAACAAGAAAUGUGCAUGCUUGAAUAUGUCAGAAUGAGUUGGAUAAUAGGAAGUGUAUGUUGAAUCCUAAAUGGUCCCCUCUAAGGGAAGAUGAAGAAUUCACUUAUUAGAGCCCACUUUGCAUGGGUAGAUAUGGUGGGAACUAGGGUCUCUCAUGUGCUGCUUGUAAUACAUCAGAAAGAUCACCAACUCAAAUCCCAUGGUGAAGUCGUUUUUAGAUGGCUAUUUCUUAAUUUUGAAAGAUAAGUGUUUUCACAUUCCCAUUUCACUCUCCAACUCUUUCCUUACAUUCUGUUACAUACUAAAAAGCAUGAACAAUUAGAUCUGGCUAGAAACUGUAACUCCUAUCUUACUAAGAAGAAAGGAAGGGAAAAGACAUUUUUGGAGUAUCUUCAAAUGUAAGGCCCAGGUGUUUAAUGUGUUAAUGUUAUUGAAUCCUCACAACAAACCUUAGAGCAAUUUGUAGUCCCAUUUUAUAAGAAACAGUCUCAGAGUGGUUCAGUAACAUGCCUGAGGUUACCUAGAGUGAACCGACAUGUCAAUCCAGGUCUCUAAUUCUAAAUCGAGGACAGCUAUUCAUUUGCUAAUUACUCAAACAAUUUGAAAAUUUUUUUCAUGUUGGAAUAGAUUUGAAAUGUUGAAAUGGGUUACAAGUUGAUCAGUUAUUCAGGCAUCCAAAAGAAUUGGCUAUGAAUUGAAAGAAGUAUACAGUAAACGACAUGUUUUCAAAGUCAUUAAAUGUGUGUUUUUGUAGGAAAAUCCAAAUGUUAAUCUCAUAAGAGUUACCCUCUCAAAAAAUGUUGGAGUCAUCUUUUUAUUCCUGAUACUUUUGAAAAACUUUUUGCUGUUUUUUCCAUUAAGAUUUAUUUUCCCAACAUUUCCACUACUACCAGACCGGUCCCUGAAAUUAUUUCAUAGUAGUCAACAUUUUUAUUGGGUGUGUUUUGUGUUCAAAAUAUUGUUCUGACUCCCUUUUGUCAUUUAUUCUUAAUAACUGAAUAUGAACUGGAUCACUGCCUCAUUCUUUCUAACAGGAAAACUCUGUAUCUUUCUCUAUCCAGUUCAGCAGCUGCCUUUCUCAGUAGAUCAAAGUCAGGGUUCUCAUUCUAUAGGGUCUUUUUACAAACUAAACCUUGUAAAAGGUAUCUAUUCUUUCUCUUUCUUGAAUCAAACUUACUCCUCUUCUGUGCAUUUAUUCAUAUCUGGUGCUUUAGCUUCUAGAUCCAAUGCCUCCCUCCCACCUCUCUAGGUCCCUGAGUCUGUGACCAAAUUCAUGGUAGCUCUUUACCAAUAGUUUUUUUUUCUUUUUCUGAACACCCAUUGCACUCCAAGCAUUUUGUGUUUUGAUACUUGGUUAUAUUCAGUUCAGUUCUUUAUCAUAUACUGUCUUUUGAUCUGACAGGAAUGUCAUGUGAUUUCUGUCUUCCAUAGCACCUAGCACAGUGCUGAGCACCUUGGACUAAAUACAUUUUCUGUAUACAAUGUGCACACUGAUUAUAAAGUUAGUUCAAACUUUUCCAUCUUUAAGAAGAAAAAGAAGCACAAAGGCCAUUAUACUUCUUAAAGGUUUAGACCUAAAGCAGCAACCGUUCUGGAAGUUACAAACACAUCUCAAACCAAUAAUUAAAGUAGAAAUGUUCAAAGUUACCCAUGUGAUUUAAUCAGUUCACAGAAAAUACGAGGGCCAAUAGCUGUGCAGGUCAUACAUUCCUUGAGGGCUCCAUCUUAAGCUGAGCAGAAGAGACUGCUAACAAGCUCAGGAAGGAGAGGAGCAAAGUGUACAGAUGUGGCUGUGGAGCAGAGAUCACUGGAGAUCAACAAGUACCACAGUGAUGAGUAGAACUUGCGUUAGGUAAGAGAGGAAGAACCAGAAAGUCAGGUGGGCACAUUAGCAGAAGGCCAAAGAAGCCCUUACCCUGGGACAUCCAGUUUGGGUGAUAGUGACUGUCCCAGCUUGACGAUUUCUUUGUCCUUUUUUAACCAUGUACCCAUGGUUCCCUUAUUAUAAAUUUAUCAUCAUCAUUACUUUUAAAAUGAUGCAAAUGGAGACUCCGGAAAGUUUGAGAGCUUUCCACCUCUGCAGGAAGUGACUUUGGAGUGCAAACAUACUUAAAUAUUAAUAUAUUUGCCAUCAAAUAUAACGUAGGAGCGCCUCGAUCAUCAGCAUUUUGGAAAAAGUUGAGGUCUCUCUAGUCUCUCCAGUAACAUUACAUGUUUCCUUUGAAUAUCACUGGACUCUUUGACUAAAGGUGCUGUGCUUCUUAGGUCGGGAAGAGGAAGACAAACAGUAUUAGAUUAGAUUAGAAUUACCUUAUAAGAUGUCAGCAAGUAUAUUUUACGCAUCAGAGGAACCCUGAAAUUAAAGAGCCUGCAAUCUAAUUUUCACUGUUUCACAUAUGAAAUGAGAAAUUUAAAUGAAGUAUGUGGUGAAGGAGCCUUGUAAGUGUUUCCCCUCAUUUUUGACAAUUGCCAAUAUCGUGAUGCAGUUAACAAUCUGAAGUCAGCUAUAUAAAAUGUUUCAUUUUUUUGCCUACAAACGUGGUUUAUAUUUCUAUCAAAUGUCACAGUUGUCUUAUAAAAGUCUCAUUUUAUUUAAUGAGCUUGUAAAUAUGAUUGAACUCCUAUUGAAAGUGAUUGUAUUAUAAUUUAAGAAGUUGUAUGACCUUAGUAUGAUAUUUAACCUUUCAAGGCUUUGUGAAAACUGGAGGUUUGACCCAGUUGGUUCCAGUGGCCUCAUCUAGCAAGGCCUUUCUAUGAUUCUGAGUAUAUAGAAAUCAAAAGCUAUUUUAGAUUCCCCUAAGAUUGAUCAAAAGUAUAGGAUGUCUUCUUUAAAAUUUAUGAAUUCACUUUGAAUAAGAAUGCUCAUUGUAGUACAUUAUGGAUAAAUGUAGAUUCAACUUUCGUUUACCCUGUUCUUUAUCCAGUCAUAAGGGGAAAAAGACAAUUUGUCAGCAAUGUUUAAAUGUAUGUGUCUUGGAUCAAUUUAAGUGCUAUAGAUACUCUGGUUUUACAGUCAUAUUCUCGAGCAAAGUAAACACUUGGAAGAUUGCUAUGGCACAGGGUAAUUUCCUUUUUGUAAAAACAGUUUUUACAUCAAACUCAAAAUUUUGAUUGUUUACAUCAAACUGUUUUGUAUCAAACUGUCUCUGUCUCAUCAGAGAAAUAUUAAAAGAUAGAAAUUAUUUUAAAUAAGGAACUAACUGGAAAUUCUGAUGUUGAAAUGAACAAUCACUGGAAUGAAAAAUUCACUAGGUAGGCUUAACAGCAGACUCAAAGUGGCAGAAGUCAUCAACAAACUUGAAUAUAGACUUCAUAAUGUCUGUGUAGAACUUGAUCAAGACUAGGCAAUCUGAAACACGGAGAGGAAAAAGAAUGAAGAAAAAUGGAAAGGCCACAGAGAAUUGCACCAACAUAUGCCUAAUGGUAGUGCUGGAAAGUGAGGAGAGAAAAGAGCAGAAAAACUAUCCAAAGAAAUAAUGACCAAAAAUUCUGCAAAUUUGAAAAAAUUCAUCAAUUUUACACCCGAGAUCGAGGAACUCCAAGUAGGAUGUGCACAAAGGGAACCACGCCUGGAAAGGGCGCAGGAAAAGUACUGAAAAACAAGACGGAAAAUACUGACUGCAGGGAGAGUAGCACAACUCAUUAUGUAUAAGGAAGCCCCAGUAAGAGUAACAGCUGACCAAUCUUCAGAAAUUAUCAGUGGAAGACAGAAAGUAAUGGUAUUAGAUAUUUGAAGUGCUGAAAGAGACCUGUCGAACAAGAUCUUACGUUCAACAAAACUUUCAAAAAUGAAGAUGAAAUAAAAUAUUCCUUGAAACAAAAACAUAAUUUUUGUGAGCAGACCUACGUUGCAAGAACUACUAAAGGAAGUCAUUCACACUGAAAGCAAGUAGUCAUACGUGGUAAUUUGAAUCCACACACAUAAAACCAAAAACACUGGUAAAGAUAAUUAUGUAAUUAGAAAAGACAGUAUAUGUGCAUAGUGCUGCUGCUUUUCUUAAAUUAUUGUAAAGAACUUGCAUAAAAUAUAUAUGCAUAAUUAUAUUCAUUCUGUAACAAAAAAUAUGUAAUUUGUUUGACAAUAAAAACAGAGGAAGUGGGUAGGAGCAAAGCUGCUGUGGAAUAGUGAAAUGAUGCCAGAUUGUAACUUGAAUCCACGGGGGAGAAAAGCAAACCUAAAAUGGUAACUGGAACUAUGGAAAGUGAAAUGACAAAUAAGGGCAGAACUGCUGUACCAUGAGCAAUCAACAAAUUAGAUAAUUCAGAUCAAAUGGGACAGAAUUUAAAGAAAUAUACAAACUCUCAAAACUGACUGGAGAAGAAAUAAAAUCAGAAUAGACCUACAACAAGAGACUGAAUAAAUAAUCAAAAUCCUUCCCACAAAGAAAAUUCUAAUUCCAGAUUCUUCAGGAGUGAACUGUUCCAAACCUUUAAAGAAUUAACAGGCUGGGCGCGGUGGCUUAAGCCUGAAAUCCCAGCACUUUGGGAGGUCGAGGCAGGUGGAUCACGAGGUCAAGAGAUCGAGACCAUCCUGGUCAACAUGGUGAAACCCCGUCUCGACUAAAAAUACAAAAAAUUAGCUGGGCACGGUGGCGCGUGCCUGUAAUCCCAGCUACUCAGGAGGCUGAGGCAGGAGAAUUGCCUGAACCCAGGAGGCGGAGGUUGUGGUGAGCCAAGAUCCUGCUAUUGCACUCCAGCCUGGGUAACAACAGUGAAACUCCGUCUCAAAAAAAAAAAAAAAAUUAACAGCAGUCCUUCACAAACUCUUCCAAAAAGUAAAAGAUGAACACAUUCCAAAUUAUUCUAUGAGGUUAGUAUUACUUUGCUAACAAACCCACACAAAGAAAUUACAAGAAAGAAAACUAAAGAUCAAGCUACCCGUAUAAAUAGAGGUACAAAAUUCUCAUAACAUACCAGCCAACUGAAUCCAGCAAUGUAUUAAAAAAAAAUCAAUUGCAAUGACCAAGUGGUAUUUAUUACAGGAAUGCAAAGAUGUUUUAAAAUCUAAGCAUUAACUAAUGCAAUACACAUAUGUUUUAGUUCACUCGGGCUGACAUGACAUAAAUACCACGGACUGGUAAGGUUAAAAACAGACAAUUAUUUUCUCACAGUUCUGAAAGCUAAAAGUCCAUGAUCAAGGUACCAGCAAAUUCAGUUUCUGGUGAAUGCUCUCCUCCUAGCUUGUAGUUGGCCACCUUUUCACUGUAUUCUCACAUGGCUUUUUCUGUGUGCACAAACAGACAGUGAGAGAGAUUUCUACUGUCUCUUCCCUUUAGAAGGACACCAAUACUAUGGGUUUACAGCCCCACCCUUUUGUCAUUUAACCUUGAUUACCUCCUUAAAGGCUCUAUCUCCUUAAAAAAAAAAAAAAAAAAAAAAAAAAGAGAAACAGUCAAAAAACUAGGAAUAGACAGGAACUGACUCAAUAUCAUAAUAAGCAUUUACAACAUCCAGCCAACAUCAGACCCAAUGAUGAAAGACUAAAAUCUUCCCCCUAAGAUCAGGAGCAAGACAAGAAUAUAUAUUCUUGUCACUUCUAUUCCACGUUGUACUAGAGGUCCUAUUCAGGACAAUUAGGAAAGAAAAGAAAAUAAAACACAUAGAUAAGAAAGGAGGAGGUAAAACUAUAUUAGCAGAUCACAUGAUCUUGUACAUAGAAAACCAUAAAGAAAUCCACUAAAAAACAUUGGAACUAUUAUACAUAUUCAGUAAGGAUGCAGGACUGAAGAUCAUGAUGGAAAAUUAAUUUUAUUUCUAUAUAUUAUUAAUUUAAAAAUCCAGUAUGAUGGGAAGUGUCAAGGGUUGAUUUGUGAAUGCCAAAAAUGAUAUAUUGAAAUUCUAUUUCUGGAACCUGCGCAUGUGACCAUAUAUGGAACUAGGGUCUUUGAAAAUAUAAUUAAAAUGUAAGUUAACACGAGAUCCUGCUGAAAGAGGAUGAGCCCUUAAUUCACUAUAUCUGGUGUUCUUAUGAAUAAGAGUAGAAGAGACACGGAUACAUACACACAUAAAGAGGGGAACACCACAUGACACAGACACACAGACACACACAUGAUUGCCAUGUGACAGUGGAGGCAGAGAUUGAAAGAUUGGAGGGAUGCAGCUGCAAGCCCGGAAACUCCAAACAUUCUCAUGAAUCAUUUAGAAACUAGCAGUGAAAGUAUAGCCCAUUUUACACCUUGAUUUUGGACUUGUCUCAUUUAGGACUGUGAGAAUACAUUUCUGUGGUUUCUAAGUCUCUCAGUUUUUGGGUAUUUAUUAUGGUAGCCCUAAUAAAGAUAAGGGAAGACUACUCUCCAAAGAUAAAUCAAAUGCUCCCCUAUCGAAAUCUCAGCUGGUGCUUUGUUUAUCUUUCUAGAAAUAGACAAGCUGAUCCUAAAAUUUUUACAUAAAUGCAAGGAACCCAGAAUAGCCAGAAUGAUCUUUAAAAAGAACAAAAUUAGAAAUCUUACGUACGCUUAUUUUAAAAUGUUCUGCAAAGCUACAAUAAUCAAGACAUACAGGCAUAAGAAUAGACAUAAAUUAAUUGACUAGGGUUGAAAUUCUAUAAACAAAUAUAUAUAUAUAUAUAUAUAUAUAUAUAUAUAUAUAUAUAUAUAUAUACACACACACACACACACAUUCAGUUGAUGUUUUGGCAAGUGUUCCAGGACAAUUCCAUGGGGAAAGGAAAGUCUUUGCAAUAAAUAGUGGUAAUGUUAGCAUUCAUGCAAAACAAUGAAUGGAUUUCUACAUCGUGCCAUCCAAAAAAUUGACUCAAAAUGGAGCAAAGCCCUAAAUUCAAGAGCUAUAAGUAUGAAACUCUUUGAGGAUAAUAGGCAUUACUUUGUGACCUUGGGUUAGACAAUAGUUUCUUACAUAUCAUGACAAAAACAUAAGUAACAAAAACAAAACAAAUAAAAACAUAAAUUGGGCUUUAUUUAAAAAUGUGCUUCAAAGUAUCAAAAAUGUGAAAAGACAACCUACAGUUUGGGACAAAAUUUGUGCAAAUUAUAAAUCUGAUAAGAGACUUGUUGGUAGAAUAUAUAAAGAACACCUACAACUCAAUAAUAUAAAGACAAACAAACCAAUUUAAAAAUGGGACAAGGAUUUGCUUACACGUUAUCCAAACAAAAUCUACAGUUGACCAAUAAACACACAAAAGAUGUACAAUGUCAUCAGUCAUAAAUAAAUGUGAAGCAAAACAAUGAGAUGCUACUUUUAUACCUGAUAGGAUGACUAUAAUAAAACAAGGUUAGCAAAUAGCAACUGUCAGUGAAGAUGUGGAUAAAUUUUGAACACUCAUACACUGCUGGCAGAAGUGUAAAAUGGAGCAGCCACUUUGGAAAACAGUUUAGCAAUUCAUAAAAUCUUUUUUUUUUUUUUUUUUUUUUUUUUUGAGAUGGAGUUUCACUCUUGUUACCCAGGCUGGAGUACAAUGGCGCGAUCUCGGCUCAUCGCAACCUCCGCCUCCUGGGUUCAGGCAAUUCUCCUGCCUCAGCCUCCUGAGUAGCUGGGAUUACAGGCACGCGCCACCAUGCCCAGCUAAUUUUUUUGUAUUUUUACUAGAGAUGGGGUUUCACCAUGUUGACCAGGAUGGUCUCCAUCUCUUGACCUCGUGAUCCACCCGCCUCGGCCUCCCAAAGUGCUGGGAUUACAGGCGUGAGCCACCGCGCCCGGCCCAUGAAAUCUUAUACACGCGGUUAGCACAUGACCCAGCAUUUACACUCCAGGAGAACUGAAACAUAUGUUCACACAAAAACUUAUACCUGAAUGUUCAUAGCAGCAUUAUUUAUAAUAGCAAAAACCAGAAACAACCCAAAUGCCCAUUAACUGAUAAUUGGAUACAUUAAAUAUGGUAGAUUCAUAUGGCAUAAUGUUAUUUAGCAAUGAAAAUGAAUGAAGUAAUGAUAGAUGCUGCAACAUGCACAAGCAUUUAAACCAUUAAGCCAAGUGAAAGAAGCAAGUCCCUAAGGAUCCAUACUGUAUGAUACCAAUGAUUCAAAAUGUCCAUAAUAGGUAACUCUACUGAGACAAAGUAGAUCAGUGGUUACUUAGAACUAGGUGCAUUGGGGGAAAUGAGGAAUGAUUGUUAAUGGACAAAAGGUUUCUUUUUGGGGGUGAUGAGCAUGUUCUAAAAUGGACUGUUAUGAUGGUUGCACAGCUCUGUGAAAAUACCAAAAAUCAUUGAAUUGUUCCUUGAAAAGAUUAAAUAGUAUUUCAUGUAAACUCUGUCUCAAUAAAACUGAGAGACCAUUUGGGAUAUUCUAGGAAAAGAAAUGUUGAUUCAAAUGAUAGUAGUGGAUCUGGAGAGGUGUAGAAAGAUUCAAGAUACACUUGGAAUGUAACUGGGAGUGGUGCAGGAAAGUAUAAAUUUAAUGCUUCUAUAAUUCUGCCUAGGAGAACACACGAUUUGAGGGAAAGAUGAGAAGUUCAAAUCAGGUUCAUGAUGAAUUUGAAGUGCCUAUAAAACAAGUUUCAAAAAGUGGACGUUAGGAAAAAUUGUGAAAGAACAUUUAAAACUCUUUAUACAUAUGAAAAAAUGCUCAUCGUCACUGGUCAUCAGAGAGAUGCAAAUCAAAACCACAUUGAGAUACCAUCUCACGCCAGUUAGAAUGGCGAUCAUUAAAAAAUCUGGAGACAACAGAUGCUGGAGAGGAUGUGGAGAAAAAGGAACACUUUUACACUGUUGGUGGGAGUGUAAAUUGGUUCAACCAUUGUGGAAGACAGUGUGGCGAUUCCUCAAGGCCUUAGAAAUAGAAAUUCCAUUUGACCCAGCAAUCCCAUUACUGGGUAUAUAUCCAAAAGACUAUAAAUCGUUCUACUAUAAGGACACAUGUACACGAAUGUUCAUUGCAGCACUGUUUACAAUAGCAAAGACCUGGAAU